rnacentral:lncRNA from 1 species
CGCCACCACCUCGAGGGAUUUGGCCGCAGUGGGCACAGUGUAUGAGCGAGCUCAAGGGAAUCGUCCUUCCUAAUAAAGCCUUAAAAGUGUUUUCAUUAAGCUUCUCAAUGCUAUCUUAUCAAGCAAUCAACCUGUUUUCAGAUAUUUAGGAGUCUGGGGUCAACGUAGGUGGAACCAGACCUUUUCAUAACAAUCAGCUACUCUUUCCUCUUGCUGGAGGACAACACCUCAUCUACAGUCACUAUAACAUAAAGAUUGUCCCCCCCACUGGAUGUUUUCAGUUAGUAUUUGAGGAACGUGGACCCAGGGUUUAGAUGGAUCUGUGAAUUCUGAAGUUUCCAUUUAAAUGAGACUCCAAUAUUUAAAUAAGAAUAAAAACAACUGGGGGCUGAAAGUAGAAAAAAAAAUACAUACUUAACCUGUUCAAUUUUAGCUAAAAAUCCAAAAAUGUUAAGGAAAGUGGAGAGCACUGAAAUCAUUGCUUACAAGGAGAAUGUACGCGGAGGGAGACUGUUGUGCGAGUCAUUACAUACUGUAAAAAUUAUAAUGGUUUUAGGUACACCCACUCAACUGGAAAAUUAACACUAUAAUUGCAUUCACCCCCUACCUGUGUACUGUUAGAAGAAUGAGAUCUGUAGAUUGUUUCUGAAGGGGCCCGUCGAAAAGCAAUGUUGCUCUGUGGCCUUAAUACAAGAGUUGUUGGUGACAAUCCAGAGUUGCUUCACUAGCUACAGCAAAAGUACCUCAUCCUCUUGGAAAAUACUCCAUAUUUCAAAUUACAAAGUCAACUUCAGGAUGGACCUGAGAAUUGCACAGGCAAGUUUUGAUUUAAAAUGUUGUCUGCUCUCUCUCCCUCUCUGGUAUAUUUUUCAUUUGGAAAGUAGCUGUCAUUGCUGUAUAUCAAGAUGCAUUACAUAGACAGGGAAGUAUUGUUCAUAUGGAAAAACACUGAGUAUAUAACAAAAGUUAUAUAGUUGUGGAACUGUCUUUUGAUGCCAUUAAAUCUGGGAUGUGCCCAUUCUGCCACAUCUGAAGAUAAGGGCAUUUUGGUGCCAGAUUUAAGGCACCGUGUUUGGUGAUUCUGGCCUUUAUAUUCCAGCAGACAAAAUGGCAAAACUGGAUUGGACCUGCUUAUUGAUGGUAUACUGCUGUGAGAUACAGUAUUAGCUUCUGUAAGAAGACUUCAUGGUUUGUAUUUUCUAGGAAUGAAAGAGGGUGAGGUUAACUAUUUUCAGGCCAAACCUCUGGCACAGAAUUCAUGGGAGGCUUAAAGAGCCUUCAGCAAAUUGUCUGUAUUAAACUGAAAAGAGAAAAUAGUUUUCUGUUAGAGAUGCAUCUUAAACCUUUCUUUUACUCCAGUAGCAGAGAUAGACACCAUUUACAGCAGAGUAAGGAAACUAAGUAAAGAUUGAAAAUAAUGUAUU